UCCCUGACCUCGCCCACUCUGGUUUGCCUGC
rnacentral:piRNA from 1 species